UUUCAAAGGGUAUUCACAACAAAUGAAAUAGAUACAAAUAAUUUAUGUUGCCAACUCCAACUUUAUUAAGAUAAAACUUUGUUUAUAUAAUUUAUGCUGCCAACUCCAACUUUAUUAAGAAUAAAACUUGGUUUCUUGGUACAGCCACAACAAGAUACUAAACAAAAUCCUCUAGCAACAUUGGUCUUAAACUAGAUUUCUUUAGCCAUCAAACAGUGGAAGAACAAAAUCAUACCCAGCUAAUUGAGAGGCAAAAUCACACCCAACAUUAGCUAAAUAUGCUACUCGAAGCGUUAGAACUGUACUCUUCAUUGUUCGAACUUCCAUCCUGAAUUAAGACUAAUUAGUCUUGGGACUUCCAUUCUGUUCUAGACUUGGGAAAAAUUAUGCAAAUCUUCGACCACCAUGCAUUCUAACUGUUGUGUUUCACUGCCAGCAGCUUCAUGCAAAUGUUGUCCACCCAAACCAAUGGAAAAUCAAAUACGGUCCCAUUUUAAUCUAAUCCCAAAAACGUUGAAAAAUAAUGACAAACAUUUUUCUUUUUGUAGUUGCUUUACCGCCAGCAGCUUCAUGCAAAUGUUGUCCACCCAAACCAAUGGAAAAUCAAAUACAGUCCCAUUUUAAUCUAAUCCCAAAAACGUUGAAAAAUAAUGACAAACAUUUUUCUUUUUGUAGUUGCUUUACCUUGACUAUUGAAUAUAACACUUGCUGAAGAUGGAGGGACGAUACAUGUGGAUUGUUGAUGUUGUGUGAAUUGAAGAUUUUGGUUGCCACCCUACACGAAAUAACAUUAUCAGUAAAUCAUAUAAUUUCGAUGAAAGUAAAUCAUCUAUGAACCAUAAAGAGCAGUGGAUAUGAUAAUAGUAUUAGCAUAUGUGCUUGUUGUGGUAACCAGAUGACAGUUACAACAUCUCUCAUAUUACUUGUGCGAACCUUCGGUCUCUUCCCUUUGGUUGAACUCAAAGUUGCCUAUAAAACAUCAAAAUGUUAUUAAACAUUAUGUGUAUAAGGACUUUACGACCUUUGGAUACAAAAAAUUGGGAAUUACUUUACUAUGUUCAAACUUGAUUCCAAUAGGCUUUUCUUGCGAAGUUUCCUAGGCGCACAUUUUCUCUUCACACAUAUUGGAUCCUAUAUGCUGCCACUUCUAGUAUCUUGUGAUGCUCCACUUUCUGAGGCUAUCUGAUUGUUAUUCGAGGACAUGACAUUACUCCCACAAAUAGACUUCGACUUCGUCAUCUAUUUACACUGAGUGUCGAUCCAAUCAAUUAUAGAAUCAUAUUUGACUUUAUACGCAAUCAUGUUUUCCAGUGUUACAAAAUGUUGACACAUUUUAUCGUACUUCAACUGUCCAUGAGUACUAACCAAACUAUCACAGUUUACUGCGACCCUCGUGUGGAUUCUACUCACAUCUCGUCACCAUCUUCGUAAUAUGUAUAUAUUCGGUAUUGAUUUCACAUCAUUACGGAUCAAUACUGUGAUCACAUGUCGACAAAUAAUCCCUUGAAACUUGAAAAAGUGACAAUUGCAAGUAAUUUCACAUUUUUCUCUUUGAAAUGAGACAAAACGUUUUUUCUUAGAACGCUCAUUCAUGUAUUAUGUCCUCUUGCACCUCGUAAGUUUUUCUCGAACAUCCCUCGGAGGCAAAUAUGAGAUCGUAAUAAAGCUUGCAUAUGAACUCCUCUUGAAUUUCCCUGAAUUUCGAAAUUGUAUAAACUAGCUGAAAUUACUUUUUCCAUUUCAUACCUCAUUGCACACGGUAACAUUUGCGAGUAAGACUUGAAAUUUGCUUGGAACUCUUUCUCAACCUUAUUUCUCAAUGCUCAUUCAUAUUGUUCAACAAAUUGCUUCAACAUCAUCUUCAAAUGCACAUGACCAUCAAAGAAUGCAUUCACACUCUCACUGUAUUGAGUUAUUGAUAUCCCUGCCCAAAUUGUGGUUUUCCAACAGCAAGGUACCCAACAUUCCCCAUUCUCAUAUAGACCCGUCAACCAGUCAUUAUCAUACAAAUUAUAUGUUUCGAUGAUCACUCUCCAUCCGUUUUCGAAUUUUUCUAUAAAUUGACAAUUAUAGACCAAACUGUGAAUGUAGCAAACAUUAAACCCUUUAUCCACGUGAUAUCCAAACUUUUCUGGCAACUUCUUCAAUAUGUGUCACAGACACUAUCUAUGCUUUGUAUUGGGGAAUACGAUCUGAACUAUAUUUUGCAUAGCCCUGUCUUGAUCUAUUAUUAUCACAUGGGGAGCUUGUCCAUGCAUGCAUUGCAUCCAUAUCCAAAAUAGCCACACAAACGUAUCUGUAUCCUUGUUCGAUACUAGACCACAUCCAAGUAGUGUCAAUUGUCCAUCAUGAUUCACUCUAAUAAAAGGGGCAAAUGGCAUGUCAUAUUUUAUUAGUGAGGUAUGUGGUGUCGAAGGUGACAACAUCAUUAAACUCAUUAUAUGCUUGCCUACUCCUAUUAUCUGCCCAAAACACAUUUUUAACCGCAACUCUUCAUUUAAAUCUAUAUUAAAGUAAAAGCCCGAGCAUCGUGGUUUCAUUUUAGAAAAGUAUGAUUGUAUCACUGCUGCGUCUCCUUCUCCAAGUCUUAAACGCCUACCUUUUUCAACAUAGUUUCGACAAUCCUUUUCUAUACAGGUCAUAUUCUCAUAUCUACCCGCUUCAACAACUAUAGAGAUAUAACUUUUGUGCAACGAAAUUCCAACUGUCAUUUACUUCAAGUCGUCGUUUCACACGUCCACUCAAUUCUCAGUUACAUCUAUAUAACCUGGACUUCGAAGGGCUUGUUUUAUGAUUUUGGUUAAGGUGUACUGUGUUGAUUCUCCAUAUACCGCAAAUAUUUAAACAUCUAGUUAUCUUGACUUUACAUCUACUCUGAAUCUUGUUGCAGCUUCAAAAAACCACUCAUAUUUUUUAUUCUUUUCUCUUCACGACUACAAAUAAAUGUAAUAUAUCUCAAUACCUUUUUCGAAUUUCUUUUUCUAAUAGGGAAACCAAUGUUGUGUGCACAUAUUUUGUAAAACUCAAAAUUUCAUUUUCAUCCUUAAAUUUCAUACGCACCUCAGGCACAAUUGCACCAUUUUCGACUAACAUAUCAUCACCCAGCAUGUUCGUAUUAUCCAUAACAUUCUCAUUAUCGAAAUUCACCAAAAUAAUGUCAUCCAUAUAGUCCACAAUUUUUUUCCUGAAACAAAAAAAAAUAAAUUACAUUGUUGAAAGAAGCAUAAUAACAAUAUAAUUUAUAAAACUAUAUUUAACGUUUUCCGUACAAAGAUAAUAACAAAAUUCUAUUACAGAAAUACUUAAAUGAAAAUUCUAAAUAGGCUUAGUACUGUUAUGCAGUAAUUGCAGCUGAAAAAAAAAACCAAAAAACCUCACUGAUCACACAUCAAAGCCCCAAGAUCAACAACUGACUACUCGGAUGAAAAUGUAUGAGGUAUAUGAAGAUGUUCAAAUCCGUCGCAGCUGAAACCUCCCAACUGAUCACAAAUAAAGCCCCAAAAUCAACAACUCACUACUUGGAUGGAAAAUGAGGAAGAAUCGCAUAUAUACAAGGUAUAUGAAAAUAUUCCAAUUGUUUUGGGUUAAUGAAAAUGCUCGAGAAUCAUAAAGUUAAGAUUAUGGUAAAACAGUACUAAGACCAUGGAAAAUGCCAAAUCAUUAUUUAUGACAAAAAAAUAAAACAAUGCAAACCAAUACCUUUUACAAUCAUCUUCUCGAACAAGCGAAGCUAGGAACAGGUGGAUGUGUAGCCAAAAGUCGAUGGCAGCUUCCCCUAUUUUCGAUGUCGUCGAGAAUGAGAUAAAAAAAUAAAGACAGAAAGAGAUGCAGCUGUAGGCGUGGAAUUCACGCCAAAAGGAUAAAGGAAAAAUGGAAAUUGGGCAUUGCUCGCCUAAUAAGAAAUAAAUG
rnacentral:lncRNA from 1 species